rnacentral:misc_RNA from 1 species
CGCACCUUGCGCCCCGUGGCUUACCACGGAGCACGCCCGUUCGAGUGUCACGUUAACCUCUCGCCCCCUGCGAUGUCACAGUCGCUUGGGCGCGGACUUGGAUGCUGCCGUCGUUGGCUCGUCCGAAAUGCAUUAGCGAGGGCGGUCGUCUGCAUCGCGUGGCGUGAUAGUUUUCCUUCUCGCCUGUCAAGCGUUGCGGUCGGCGGCUCUGCUCAGAGUCCCGUCGCGUUGACGGAAUCACAUUCAAAGUUUGACCUCGAAUCGGGUGGGACUACCCGCUGAACUUAA